AACGAACGCUGGCGGCAUGCCUAACACAUGCAAGUCGAACGAGACCUUCGGGUCUAGUGGCGCACGGGUGCGUAACGCGUGGGAAUCUGCCCUUAGGUACGGAAUAACUCAGGGAAACUUGUGCUAAUACCGUAUGAUGUCGAGAGACCAAAGAUUUAUCGCCUAGGGAUGAGCCCGCGUAGGAUUAGCUAGCUGGUGGGGUAAAGGCCUACCAAGGCUACGAUCCUUAGCUGGUCUGAGAGGAUGAUCGGCCACACUGGGACUGAGACACGGCCCAGACUCCUACGGGAGGCAGCAGUGGGGAAUAUUGGACAAUGGGCGAAAGCCUGAUCCAGCAAUGCCGCGUGAGUGAAGAAGGCCUUCGGGUUGUAAAGCUCUUUUACCCGGGAAGAUAAUGACUGUACCGGGAGAAUAAGCUCCGGCUAACUCCGUGCCAGCCGC
rnacentral:rRNA from 1 species